rnacentral:misc_RNA from 1 species
GAUGAAGAACGCAGCGAAUUGCGAUAUGUAAUGUGAAUUGCAGAAUUCAGUGAAUCAUCGAAUCUUUGAACGCACAUUGCACCCUCUGGUAUUCUGGAGGGUAUGCCUGUUUGAGUGUCAUUUAAAUGCGUCAACACAGACCAAGUUCCACCACACGGUGACUUGCUCUGCUGCUUUUGGAUGUUGAAGGCCUGCUGGCGAUGAAACUCUCUGCAGUCAGCUCCUUUUAAAUUCAUUAGCGGGACAAUUUGCACUUUAGCUGGUCUGCAGUUUGAUAAAUUGAACUGCUGUCCGGUGUGUACCGAGAAGUUCCUGCUUCCAACCGUCCAGUGGAUCUGGACUGUCUCACUCUUUUGAGUCAUUCACAUUGACAAACUUGGCCUCAAAUCAGGUAGGAUCACCCGCUGAACUUAAGCAUAUCAAUAAGCGGAGGAA